AGCCUAUUAGCUCAGUGGUCAGAGCGUUACUAGUAGUAAAGGUCGCAGGUUCGAACCCUGUAUAGGCUU